rnacentral:rRNA from 1 species
AUGAUGGAUCUUCUGUCCACCAGUGCCACAUUAAUUCCUAGAAAUAAAUUUAAAUCUUUUAAAGGUAGUGAUAUAUGUGAGUUGGUGAAGAAGUAUUACCCAGCAGAUUUUAGUCAACAAGACAUGUAUGGCUUGGAAAACCAACUAAAACUCUUUGUUCCUGAUGCUUCCAGUGAUGUAGAGUUGAAAAAUAUAUCAACAUUGACUCACCUUUGCCAACUCCUUGUUGAGACUGGAAGAGAUAGAAUCUACCAUCUAAUUGACAGGCUACUCCGUCUACUUGUUACUCUUCCAGUUUCUACAGCUAGUGCUGAACGAGCAUUUUCCAGUUUGAAGAUCAUCAAAACAAGGUUGUGUAAUACGAUGGAAGAUGAGAAUCUUGCCAAUAACUUGGUUGUUCACAUAGAGCGUGAAAUCGCAGAGAAAUACACGUUUGAGGACAUUUUAGCAGAAUUCAAGAGCAUAAGUGAUCGAAAAGCUGAUCUGUAG